UUCGACCUGAACUCAGACGUGAACACCC
rnacentral:rRNA from 2 species